UAGUUACUCUGUGGUUUCUGCUGUCUAAAACCAGGUUUGAUUCCAUCCCCCUCCUAGUUACUCUGUGGUUUCUGUUGUCUAAAACCAGGUUUGAUUCCAUCCCCUCCUAGUUACUCUGUGAUUUCUGCUGUCUAAAACCAGGUAUGAUUACAUCCCCCUCCUAGUUACUCUGUGGGAGUCUGUUAACUAAAACCAGAUAUAAUUCCAUCCCCUCCUAGUUACUCUGUGGGAGUCUGUUAACUGAAACCAGGUAUGAUUCCAUCCCCCUCCUAGUUACUCUGUGGGAGUCUGUUAACUAAAACCAGGUUUGAUUCCAUCCCCUCCUAGUUCCUCUGUGGGAGUCUGUUAACUAAAACCAGGUAUGAUUCCAUCCCCCCCUAGUUCCUCUGUGGGAGUCUGUUAACUAAAACCAGGUUUGAUUCCAUCCCCCUCCUAGUUACUCUGUGGUUUCUGCUGUCUAAAACCAGGUUUGAUUCCAUCCCCUCCUAGUUACUCUGUGGUUUCUGCUGUCUAAAACCAGGUUUGAUUCCAUCCCCCUCCUAGUUACUCUGUGGUUUCUGCUGUCUAAAACCAGGUUUGAUUCCAUCCCCUCCUAGUUACUCUGUGGUUUCUACUGUCUAAAACCAGGUUUGAUUCCAUCCCCCUCCUAGUUACUCUGUGGUUUCUGCUGUCUAAAACCAGGUUUGAUUCCAUCCCCUCCUAGUUACUCUGUGGGAGUCUGUUAACUAAAACCAGGUUUGAUUCCAUCCCCUCCUAGUUACUCUGUGGGAGUCUGUUAACUAAAACCAGAUAUAAUUCCAUCCCCUCCUAGUUACUCUGUGGGAGUCUGUUAACUGAAACCAGGUAUGAUUCCAUCCCCCUCCUAGUUACUCUGUGGGAGUCUGUUAACUAAAACCAGGUUUGAUUCCAUCCCCUCCUAGUUCCUCUGUGGGAGUCUGUUAACUAAAACCAGGUAUGAUUCCAUCCCCCCCUAGUUCCUCUGUGGGAGUCUGUUAACUAAAACCAGGUUUGAUUCCAUCCCCCUCCUAGUUACUCUGUGGUUUCUGCUGUCUAAAACCAGGUUUGAUUCCAUCCCCUCCUAGUUACUCUGUGGUUUCUGCUGUCUAAAACCAGGUUUGAUUCCAUCCCCCUCCUAGUUACUCUGUGGUUUCUGCUGUCUAAAACCAGGUUUGAUUCCAUCCCCUCCUAGUUACUCUGUGGUUUCUGCUGUCUAAAACCAGGUUUGAUUCCAUCCCCUCCUAGUUACUCUGUGGUUUCUACUGUCUAAAACCAGGUUUGAUUCCAUCCCCCUCCUAGUUACUCUGUGGUUUCUGCUGUCUAAAACCAGGUUUGAUUCCAUCCCCCUCCUAGUUACUCUGUGGUUUCUGCUGUCUAAAACCAGGUUUGAUUCCAUCCCCCUCCUAGUUACUCUGUGGUUUCUGCUGUCUAAAACCAGGUUUGAUUCCAUCCCCUCCUAGUUACUCUGUGGGAGUCUGUUAACUAAAACCAGGUUUGAUUCCAUCCCCUCCUAGUUCCUCUGUGGGAGUCUGUUAACUAAAACCAGGUAUGAUUCAAUCCCCUCCUAGUUCCUCUGUGGGAGUCUGUUAACUAAAACCAGGUUUGAUUCCAUCCCUUCCUAGUUACUCAGUGGUUUCUGCUGUCUAAAACCAGGUUUGAUUCCAUCCCCCUCCUAGUUACUCUGUGGUUUCUGUUGUCUAAAACCAGGUUUGAUUCCAUCCCCUCCUAGUUACUCUGUGGUUUCAGCUGUCUAAAACCAGGUAUGAUUCCAUCCCCUCCUAGUUACUCUGUGGGAGUCUGUUAACUGAAACCAGGUAUGAUUCCAUCCCCCUCCUAGUUACUCUGUGGGAGUCUGUUAACUAAAACCAGGUUUGAUUCCAUCGCCUCCUAGUUCCUCUGUGGGAGCCUGUUAACUAAAACCAGGUAUGAUUCCAUCCCCUCCUAGUUCCUCUGUGGGAGUCUGUUAACUAAAACCAGGUUUGAUUCCAUCCCCCUCCUAGUUACUCUGUGGUUUCUGCUGUCUAAAACCAGGUUUGAUUCCAUCCCCCUCCUAGUUACUCUGUGGUUUCUGCUGUCUAAAACCAGGUUUGAUUCUAUCCCCUCCUAGUUACUCUGUGGUUUCUGCUGUCUAAAACCAGGUUUGAUUCCAUCCCCCUCCUAGUUACUCUCUGGUUUCUGCUGUCUAAAACCAGGUUUGAUUCCAUCCCCUCCUAGUUACUCUGUGGUUUCUGCUGUCUAAAACCAGGUAUGAUUCCAUCCCCCUCCUAGUUACUCUGUGGGAGUCUGUUAACUAAAACCAGGUAUGAUUCCAUCCCCUCCUAGCUACUCUGUGGGAGUCUGUUAACUAAAACCAGGUAUGAUUACAUCCCCCUCCUAGUUCUUCUGUGGGAGUCUGUUAACUAAAACCAGGUUUGAUUCCAUCCCCCUCCUAGUAACUCUGUGGUUUCUGCUGUCUAAAACCAGGUAUGAUUCCAUCCCCUCCUAGUUACUGUGUGGGAGUCUGUUAACUAAAACCAGGUAUGAUUCCAUCCCCCUCCUAGUUACUCUGUGGCAGUCUGUUAACUAAAACCAGGUUUGAUUCCAUCCCCUCCUAGUUACUCUGUGGGAGUCUGUUAACUAAAACCAGGUUUGAUUCCAUCCCCUCCUAGUUACUCUGUGGGAGUCUGUUAACUAAAACCAGGUAUGAUUCCAUCCCCUCCUAGUUACUCUGUGGUUUCUGCUGUCUAAAACCAGGUAUGAUUCCAUCCCCCUCCUAGUUACUCUGUGGGAGUCUGUUAACUAAAACCAGGUUUGAUUCCAUCCCCCUCCUAGUUACUCUGUGGUUUCUGCUGUCUAAAACCAGGUAUGAUUCCAUCCCCUCCUAGUUACUCUGUGGGAGUCUGUUAACU